CUUGGCAGAGAGAGGUAGCGGUAGAGGUAAAGGUGGAGGUGGUGGUGAAGGACGAGGUAGAGGUGGAGGUAGAAGUAGAGGUGGAGGUGGUGAUAGAGGUAGAGGUGGAGGUGAAGGUGGAGGUGGAGGUGGCGGUAGAGGUGGUGGUGGAGGUAGAAGUGGAGGGGGAGGUAGAAGUAGAGGUGGAGGUGGUGGUAGAGGUGGAGGUGUAGGUGGGGGUAGAGGUAAAGGUGGAGGUGGAGGUAGAGGUAGAGGUGGUGGUGGAGGUAGAAGUGGAGGUGGAGGUAGAAGUAUAAGUGGGGUGGUGGUAGAGGUAGAGGUGGAGGUGUUGGUAGAGGUGGGGGUGGAGGUAGAGGUGGAGGUGUAGGUGGGGGUAGAACUGGAGGUGGAGGUAGACGUAGAGGUGGAGGUGGUGGUAGAGGUGGAGGUGUAGGUGGGGGUAGAGGUAGAGGUGGAGGUGUAGGUGGGGGUAGAACUGGAGGUGGAGGUAGACGUAGAGGUGGAGGUGGUGGUAGAGGUAGAGGUGUAGGUGUAGGUGGGGGUAGAAGUGGAGGUGAAGAUAGAAGUGGAGGUGGAGGUAGAGGUGGAGGAAGACCAAGAACAAGGAGAGUAUUCUCAGAUGAAAUUCGGGCGACUAUAGUGGACCAUGUGGUCAACCCCGGUUUGACCUUGAGAGAGGCUGGGCAGAGAGUGCAGCCCAAUCUGAGCCGCUUCACUGUAGCAUCCAUCAUCCAGACGUUCCAAAAUGCAGGCAUUGGACCUCUCUACUACUUUUACUACUUGACAGUAGUACAACAUAAAGCACAGUAAAGACUGUAGAUUCCAAUACAUACUGUAGGGGGAAAAAAGUUAAUGUUUAAUAUAUUAAUGAAAUUGGGAGCUAUGCUACUUUGUAACAUGUUUAUCUUGUACAUUUUUAUAUUUUACAUUUUAGUCAUUUAGCAGACACUCUUAUCCAGAGCGACUUACAGUAGUGAAUGUAUACAUUUCCUGUACUGGUCCCCCGUGGGAAUCGAACCCACAACCCUGGCGUUGCAAACACCAUGCUCUGCCAACUGAGCCACACGGGAUAUUGUAUUAUUGUAGUGUUUAAUGUAGUGCAGGCUAUUUUGUUUUUGAAGAACUGAAAGACGACCACCACAUGCACCACUGGUCAAAAGUUUGGACACACCUACUCCUUCAAGGGUU
rnacentral:lncRNA from 1 species